rnacentral:rRNA from 1 species
GGGUCAGUAGGUUGGUCGUGCCACCGGUACGUACUGGUCUCACUGAUUCCUCCUUCCUGAAGAACCGUAAUGCCAUUAAUUUGGUGUUGCGGGGAAACAGGACUGUUACUUUGAAAAAAUUAGAGUGUUUAAAGCAAGCUAACGCUUGAAUACAUUAGCAUGGAAUAGUGGAAUAGGACGAUCGAUCCUAUUUUGUUGGUUUCUAGGAUUGACGUA